AUCUAUAUAUAUGCAUAGUACAUUAGAGAGAGAGAGAGAGAGAGAGAUAGAUGGGUGCAUUGGUAGUUCAGACUGGUGAUGCUUGCAUCUGGCAUCAUCAUCAUCAUCGCCAUCAGCAUCGAAGUCCAAGUAUCGGAGCAUCAGUGAGAAGAAAGGGGAACAAGAAGAAUGGGUUGUUUUUCAGCAGCAAUUUCCAAAUUCAUGCACUUCAGGUGGGUGCUGAAAAACCAGCAGGUUCAACCAACUCAGAAUUUGAAAAUCUCAUUUGGCCUUCUCCGAAUGAUGAAAUCCCAUUCUGGAAGAGGGAUUUCCCUUCAUGGGACAUAAGCUCAGAACUACCAGUUGACGUAGACAAGGAUUCUGAUCUGAUGCAUGUAGUUCAUGUAACGGCUGAAAUGGCACCAAUAGCAAAAGUUGGUGGUCUUGGUGAUGUUGUCACUGGAUUGGCCCGUGCAUGUUUAUCACGUGGCCAUAAAGUGGAUAUCAUGAUCCCUUUCUAUGAGUGUAUUCCGAAGCAGCAGAUCAAUGAGUUGGCACUGCUCAGUACAUAUGAUUCGUACCAUGAUGGAAAUUGGAUCCCUACUAAUGCGUACCGUGGGCUAGUUUCUGGCAUACCAGUUGUAUUUAUUGAACCGAAAAACCACUUCUUUAAGGGGCAAUAUGUAUAUGGAGGCUCGUACAAUGAGCUCGAGGCAUACUUGUUCUUUACCCGUGCUUGCCUUGAAUGGAUGCAGACUAUUAUUUUAUUGCAGGUGACUGGAACACAACCGGAUAUCAUCCAUAUCCAUGAAUGGCAGACAAGUGCUUUAUCCAUGCUUUUCUGGGAUAUGUACUGUUAUCUCUCACUAAAGAAACCAAGAAUAGUACUGACAAUCCACAACAUGGAGCAUUAUGGGGAAUGCAGACAAGAGGAACUCAGUAAAUGUGGCCUUGAUGGAUCUAUAUAUGCAACUGCUGACAAGGCUGUCGAUGAUCGAACUGUUGGUCAUAAUCCCGAGAGGUUGAGCUUACUGAAAGGAGGCAUUGUGUAUAGUAAUGCAAUAGUUACAGUCUCUCCAACAUACCUUCGGGAGACGCUCUGUUCUGGAUGGCUUGCAGGCACUUUGAUAGGGAAUCGUGAUAAGUACUAUGGUAUUUUAAAUGGAAUAGAUACUGCGAUAUGGAACCCUGCCACAGAUGUUUUCUUGCCUUCUAAAUUCAAUGCUCAAAGAAUUGAGGGGAAGAAGAUAUGCAAACACUUUGUCCAAAGGGGACUUGGAUUGACUUCAGAAGAAAUUAUAGCGGGUAAUACUGGGUCUAAAAUUACAGCCAAGGUGCCCCUGGUUGUCUGCAUAACUCGAUUGGUUGCUCAAAAGGGUCUUCAUUUGAUUACUCAUGCAAUUAAGCACGUUGAAGAACUUGGGGGACAAAUGAUUGUACUGGGAAAAGCUUCAGAUAAUCGGGUUGAAAGAGGAUUUGAGGCUCUUGCAAAGAUGCAUAACCAAGGACCCGGCAUCCGAAUUCUUCUGAUGUACAGUGAGGAGCUGUCACAUAUGCUUUAUGCUGCAGCAGACAUGGUAUUAGUUCCUUCCAUAUAUGAGCCAUGUGGACUUGCUCAGAUGAUUGGAAUGCGUUACGGAGCGGUUUGUCUUUGAAGGAAUCGAUGAAGGAUCCCUGAAUGGAGCUCUAGACCGUGCAUUUUCUCGCUAUCGAGAGAAACCAAAUGAAUGGAAUGAUGUCUCACAGAAGAUUAUGGAAAUUGAUAAUAGCUGGAAUAACACAGCUGGAAAAUACCUUGAUGUGUACAACUCUAUCAGAGUAAGAGGGUAAUAACCUUAGUAAUUGUUUGGGAUGUGCUAUAUAAGUAUACUUUUUGACUUUUGGUUAAAAAAGUAGAGAAAAAAAUAUGUAUAUUUGAGAUAAUUUUUUGACUUUUUACGAAAAGAUGUGUAAUAAAAUAUUGUAGUAAAAUCAAAAUGGUAAUUUUAUCUUUACUUU